GACGAACGCUGGCGGCGUGCCUAAUACAUGCAAGUAGAACGCUGAAGCUUGGUGCUUGCACCGAGCGGAUGAGUUGCGAACGGGUGAGUAACGCGUAGGUAACCUGCCUGGUAGCGGGGGAUAACUAUUGGAAACGAUAGCUAAUACAGCAUAAUAGUAGAUGUUGCAUGACAUUUGCUUAAAAGGUGCAAUUGCAUCACUACCAGAUGGACCUGCGUUGUAUUAGCUAGUUGGUGAGGUAACGGCUCACCAAGGCAACGAUACAUAGCCGACCUGAGAGGGUGAUCGGCCACACUGGGACUGAGACACGGCCCAGACUCCUACGGGAGGCAGCAGUAGGGAAUCUUCGGCAAUGGACGGAAGUCUGACCGAGCAACGCCGCGUGAGUGAAGAAGGUUUUCGGAUCGUAAAGCUCUGUUGUAAGAGAAGAACGAGUGUGAGAGUGGAAAGUUCACACUGUGACGGUAUCUUACCAGAAAGGGACGGCUAACUACGUG
rnacentral:rRNA from 1 species